GUGGGUUAAGUUCCUUGGACUAGGACAGCAUCGAGGGUGAUACUCCCGUGUAUGCCUGUGCAAUUGUGCGUACGACACGUUUUCUUUGAGUCGCGUUGUUUGGGAAUGCAGCGCAAAGUAGGUGGUAAAUUCCAUCUAAAGCUAAAUAUUGGUGCGAGACCGAUAGCGAACAAGUACCGUGAGGGAAAGAUGAAAAGAACUUUGAAAAGAGAGUUAAAGAGUACCUGAAACUGCUGAAAGGGAAUCGAAUCGUUUCCAGUGUCUAUAAUCUGUGGCAUAUUUCAUUGGCGAGUGUGUGCGUGCAUUGUUUUGGAAGCAGUUUUCUGUUCCUGGCUGUGUUGUGCAUUUGCUUGCUGGUGCCCUGUGUCGCGGUGGGACGUCAGAGUCAAUUCGUAAGUUGCGGGAAAUGGCUAUUGGGGAGGUAGGUCACUUCGGUGGCUGUUAUAUCCUGAUAGCUAGUAGUCGUGGCUGGGAUUGAGGUGCCUACAACGUGCUUUCGAGUGUCUGGGUGUCUCGUUUUGUAAGUUAUCUUGACAGCUUGCUGUGUUGGUGAUAUUAUCGAGCGAUUGAUGUCUGGUCUAACUUGUUGCCGUUCGGGACUUUGACGAAAUGGAGCGAUCCGUCCCGUCUUGAAACACGGACCAAGGAGUCUAACAUGUGUGCAAGUGUUCGGGUGUGGAAACCCAAACGCGAAAUGAAAGUGAAGGACAGUUUACUGUCUGAGGUAGGAAACCUUUGUUCUCAAGGGUGGCACUAUCGACCGAUCAUGAACCUUCGUGGUGAAAGAUUUGAGUUUGAGCACAUAUGUUGGUACCCGAAAGAUGGUGAACUAUGCCUGAGUAGGGUGAAGCCAGGGGAAACUCUGGUGGAGGCUCGUAGCGAUUCUGACGUGCAAAUCGAUCGUCAAACUUGGGUAUAGGGGCGAAAGACUAAUCGAACCAUCUAGUAGCUGGUUCCCUCCGAAAUUUCCCUC
rnacentral:rRNA from 1 species